GGACCCGUAGCUCAGCGGUAGAGCAUCUGAUUCCAGUUCUCGGAGCCAGAGUAUCCAGAAGGUCAUCCGUUCAAAUCGGGUCGGGUUCA